AAUCCUUUGUUUUGGAAACACAUGAUUUUGAAAGUCACGAAAAGGGGUUCAACUCCUCUAGGGAUUU
rnacentral:tRNA from 1 species